AGACACAUCAGAAUGACUGCUUUUUUUAUUCUUGGAUAAAAACCUCUCUUCCUAAGGCUCAUGCUUUCCUUCCUUCAGCCCAAUAUCAACACAUAUUUAUUGUGUGCUUACUGGCAGACUAAAAAUUAUUUGAUUUAAUUUCACUAAAAUAACCACUAACAAUCAACAUUCACUCAAUGCUACUUUGUGGGGAUCACAGUGCCAUUAUCUCAUUUAAUGUUCACAAUGACUCUUUGAGGUAGACUCUAUUCUACCUGAAUUUGCAGAAUAAAAAAUAGGUAAAUUAAGCAAAUCACCCACAGAUAUAGAGCUAGUGAGGGGUAGUACUGGGAGUAGUCAGCAGAGUCUAAUAUGCUAUGUUACGUGAUAAAAAUAUGAAGUAAUAUCUUAUUUCAUAACACAUUUUAAAAAUAUCUUCUAAUGCAACCCUAUGUUUUUUAGGACUUGAAACAUCCAACUAAGAAGCCUAGGGGGUAGAUGGGCAUCAUGGAGCACACCUGUAAUCCUCACUACUCUGAAGGCUAAAGCAGGAGGACUGCAAGAUCAAGGCCAGCCUAGAACUCAAGUUUUUGAGACCCUGUCUCAAAACACUUUUAAAAAAGAGGAAAGAAGCCUGUGUGAAGCAGUUUCAACAUCCCUGGAACAAAGAAGGCACUUGGGAAAUUCUGAACAGAAAGCAAGCACCUUGAGGUAUAAAGUCCAAACAGGGCAUGCACACUGUAAAAGUGCAGAGUCAGAAGAAAUGUUUGAAGAUAGCACAGCUACAGAAGCUACUAUGGUGGAGACAAGGUACACUGGAUGAAUCUACUCUGAAGACCCAAUAUGGAAUUUUGAACAGGGAUAAAACUCUAACAAAGCUGCAUUCUAGGAAGUUGGCUGAAUCAAGCUGGAAUUUAAAUGAUGAGACAAGAGGCGAUGAAAGAAGUUCAACAUCCAAAGUAUUACAGGAUGGAAAUCAAGAGACAGACAGGGAAAACGUAUGACAUUUAAUAAGAAUGGGCCUCUUUACAGUGAUGCUGCCCAUUAGUAUGCAGGGCAUACUAGUUUAGAUGUCCACAAAAGUGUUUCAUUUUAAUCAGAGACCAACUCAAAAUCAUUUCACAUUAAGUCUUUCUAUACUGUUCAUUGGUUUCUUAUUUCAGAUGUGAAAAUACUUUAUUAAAAGUAGCAAAAUAAAAUCCUUCAUAAUCUGACCCUAGGAAGGUAGCUGGCCAAGUACAAAUUCUUUCACAUGAUGAUCAAAAGCAAAGAAAGAAAAAUAGGUUAACCACCACCAUAAUAACAAAAUUAAAGUUCAAUCAAUGAAGUAAAUAUACAAACCUUUCCAAAGAAUAUCAUUUAGAAUUCACACAAUGAAUGAAAUGCCAGAUAUAGAAUACUUUAAUAAGUAAGGAAUAUUAUUUGAAAUAUGUUAAAAUAAAGAUAAGCUUUAAUUAUUUAGAAAAUGUACUUAGAGCACAAAAAUCCAUUAGCAUGUUAAACCCACAAGUUAUGCUGAAAUAUAUGGAUCUCUUCAUGAAUGAGGAUUCUAACAACCUCCAGCAAUGAAGUGUUUUCAGAAUUAAAGAAGGUUCUGUGAGAAAGAAUGGCAUUGUUUCCAAAGAUAGAUAAGCCAUUAUGUAGGAUGUAACUGCAUUAAGAAAAGGGUAUUCAUUUAUAUUUCCUUCUGCAAUCUAGCUCGUGGAUAUUCAGUUAUAUGCAGAAUAGCCUUUCAAGGAUGCCCUAAGAUUAUAUGCAAACUAUGGAUAAAAGAAAUUGAAUUUCAAAACUAUUUGUAUCAACAUCAGUAUCCAAUUGUCUUAACCUUUUAAGCCUUCUGAAUACUACAGAUUUAUCACUCCCCAAGCUGUCCAAAGGACUUCAAAAGAUACUUUAUCUCAAUAUGCAACAUUUAGGUUCAUUCACUGUAAUCACUUCCGAAUAGACAUCACAGCUGCAAAUUAAACUAAAAUGGUGUUUAGAGAUAACAAAUCAAUUGGUUAGAUUAAAGGAUAUUUUCAAACAAGUAUCAGAAAGCCUGAUGAGGAUGAUGAAGAACUAGCUAGGGAGAUUUGAAGGGAUUAACUUACUCCUUGAAAAGGUACCUUGGAUCUUGUAAAGCUUGGAAUCUAUUACCUUCAAGGCUCCCAUGUAGCAACCCAGCAGCUGCAAAUUACUACUUGGUUUUACAUAGUAAAGGUCAGGUAAAGAGAUCAGAUUGCAGUAGGCAUCAAAGGAACUAGAAUGUGUUAAGUAGAAAGGACCUGGUGGCAUUAAUAUGAGAUCUUAAGGUUACUAUCCAUUUAACUCAGUUAAAUAAAGAUCCUAUGAUGCUAAGUAUUUUAUUCCUUCAUGCCAGGAAGAUUAGAAAUGUUGCCCAAUGGCACUCAGCCUGUUGACUGGCUUGCCAUUCAUAGUUCCCAAUCCUGAACUCAUGCCAACAGGGAACAGAUUUAUACACCCACAUGGCAUCUGGAAUGGCACUUACUAGAUAAUGAUCACAAUGAUCUAAAAGAAACAGAAAAAAAGGAUACUUCACAGAGCAACUUUUACCCCCAUUCAGAAUAAUGCCUAAGUCUUGAGGGACUGAAGCCCAUUUGAUUAGAGAGGAAGUCCUUCAAAUAAAGGGGGAAAUGCUACCUUCUCUAUUACCCAUGACAAAUGCAUAAUUGCUUGGCUCUUUCCAAUAUCCUGCCCCACUCACUACUGUGCUGUAUGUGAAGCUGAGAUUGUAUUUUAAUUCCCAUAGUUCUGAACAGAAUAUCAAUAAAGGCAUGGGAGAAAAACGCA